GAGUUUGAUCCUGGCUCAGAUUGAACGCUGGCGGCAUGCCUUACACAUGCAAGUCGAACGGCAGCACGGGGGCAACCCUGGUGGCGAGUGGCGAACGGGUGAGUAAUGCAUCGGAACGUGCCCAGUAGUGGGGGAUAACUAGUCGAAAGAUUAGCUAAUACCGCAUACGACCUAUGGGUGAAAGCGGGGGACCUUUACCGGCCUCGCGCUAUUGGAGCGGCCGAUGUCUGAUUAGCUAGUUGGCGGGGUAAAAGCCCACCAAGGCGACGAUCAGUAGCUGGUCUGAGAGGACGACCAGCCACACUGGGACUGAGACACGGCCCAGACUCCUACGGGAGGCAGCAGUGGGGAAUUUUGGACAAUGGGCGCAAGCCUGAUCCAGCCAUGCCGCGUGCGGGAAGAAGGCCUUCGGGUUGUAAACCGCUUUUGGCAGGAACGAAACGGCGCGAGCGAAUCCAUGCCGCGUGCGGGAAGAAGGCCUUCGGGUUGUAAACCGCUUUUGGCAGGAACGAAACGGCGCGAGCGAAUAUCUCGCGUUAAUGACGGUACCUGCAGAAUAAGCACCGGCUAACUACGUGCCAGCAGCCGCGGUAAUACGUAGGGUGCAAGCGUUAAUCGGAAUUACUGGGCGUAAAGCGUACGCAGGCGGCUUUGCAAGACAGGUGUGAAAUCCCCGGGCCUAACCUGGGAACUGCAUUUGUGACUGCAUGGCUAGAGUUUGUCAGAGGGGGGUGGAAUUCCACGUGUAGCAGUGAAAUGCGUAGAUAUGUGGAGGAACACCGAUGGCGAAGGCAGCCCCCUGGGAUGUGACUGACGCUCAUGCACGAAAGCGUGGGGAGCAAACAGGAUUAGAUACCCUGGUAGUCCACGCCCUAAACGAUGUCUACUAGUUGUCGGGUUUUAAUUAACUUGGUAACGCAGCUAACGCGUGAAGUAGACCGCCUGGGGAGUACGGUCGCAAGAUUAAAACUCAAAGGAAUUGACGGGGACCCGCACAAGCGGUGGAUGAUGUGGAUUAAUUCGAUGCAACGCGAAAAACCUUACCUACCCUUGACAUGUACGGAAGCCACGAGAGAUCGAGGCGUGCUCGAAAGAGAGCCGUAACACAGGUGCUGCAUGGCUGUCGUCAGCUCGUGUCGUGA
rnacentral:rRNA from 1 species